GGAGGAGGUGAAGAGAUAGAUAUGUUGUUUGAGGAAGGUGAAGAGGAGGAGGAGGAGGACGAGAGAGGGUUAUUAAGGCAUUAUGAAGGAGGAGGAGGAGGAGCUGGUGAAGUGAUAGUUAUGUUGUUUGAGGAAGAUGAAGAGGAGGAGGAGGAGGAGGACGAGAGAGGAUUAUUAUGGCAUUAUGAAGGAGGAGGAGGAGCUGGUGAAGUGAUAGUUAUUAAGUCAUGGAGGAGGAGGAGAAGGCAGUCAAAUAUAUUAAGCACAUUGAAGGAGAGGGGGAAGAAAAGUUAUAAUUAAGUAUAGUUGGAAGAGGAGGAGGAGAGAGGCUAAGUAAGGUAUCAUUGAGGAAGGGAAGAGGGGGGAUGAGGAGGAGAGGAGGUACAUAAACUAUCAUUGAGGAACAGGAGGAGAGAUUAAGGUAUCAUUGAGGACGGAGAGGGAAGGGGAAGGAGGAAGGGAGAGGGGGUACAUAAACUAUCAUUGAGGAAGGGGAGGAGGAGAGGUUAAGGUAUCAUUGAGGACGGAGAGGGAAGGGGAAGGAGGAAGGAAGAGGGGGUACAUAAACUAUCAUUGAGGAAGGGGAGAGGUUAAGGUAUCAUUGAGGAGGGAGAGGGAAGGGGAAGGAGGAAGGGAGAGGGGGUACAUAACUAUCAUUCAGGAAGGGGAGGGGAAGGACGAGGGAGAAGAGGAGGUGGGUGAGAGGCCAAACCGAGGUGAGAAGGAAGCAAGGGAAGAGAAGGGCAGUCAGUUAAGCAGACAACCCCGGCGCAGGAAGGUUGAUCCCGAGUGUAUGGAGUCUCUUGCAGAAGGGCAGUCUAACCCACCUGGUCCAGUCUUCACCCCAGCUGCUGUUCUCUGCACCGGUUUACCUGUCAACCGCACCAGGUCUUCUCCACCGGGUCAAGCUUGGAAUUCCGGUAGUCCAACUGGUACUCUGCACCUGCACCCGGAUUUCAUUCCACCUGGUCCGACUCUACACUUGCAUCCUCCAUCCAUCCAGCUCACCACCGUCUUGGCCAGUGCUCCACCUCUCCCUCCACCCAGCCCAGCUCUGCAUUCCCUCCACCAGUGACACCCCUUCGUUAGACUCGAGGAUGGCCCGUGCCUGGGUUCCUGAGCUGCCUUGUCAAAGUCUGUAGACUCCCCAACUUAAUUAUUUGUUAUUUUAGUUUUUUUUUUUUGUAAGUUUUGGGUGAAUUUGCAUUGCUUUAUCUCCGGCCAGUCUUUUAGGUAUCUGAUUGGGGUUGUCACCCCCACCCACCCCUAUUUCUGUACUGGGGUUUCAAUAUUUUCAUUUGCACUAAAGGUCAGAUUUUUAAUAAUGGUACUUUAAAUAUUUUUCUAUUUGGCUAAGUAUGGUUUUAGGAUCUUAUGCAAUAAGAAUUUUAUCUAGCAACAAAUUUCAUUAGGGAGGGGACUGGUGUAAUAUAAGAUAAUCUAGUAAUAUAUAAAUUUCAUUGGGGAGGGACUGGAGGGGAUGGAACUGGGUUCAUUGGCUGGCAUCAUUCUAGUGAGACUGUAAUGACAAGUUUAGAAACUUCAUUAAAGAUAGGGGGACCUGUG